rnacentral:lncRNA from 1 species
UUGUAGGAAUAGAGUACGUACUUAGAUGAAAUUUAUCUCCCUUGGUAGGUAGGGGCAUUAGUCUUAUGUAAUUUAUAAGACCGAGUUUAGAAGAUCUUGGCCAGGGCAGAGUUAAUAGUGGAAAAGGAUUUCCGAUAUUAGAAACUCGAGUCGAAUAAAUUUAACAUAUGACAGACGAUGAGGUUUGACGAGUUAUUCUAUGACCUCCGUCUAAUCGGGACUCACUGUAUCACGCGG